rnacentral:rRNA from 1 species
GAUGAACGCUGGCGGCGCGCCUAACACAUGCAAGUCGAACGAUUAAAGCACCUUCGGGUGUGUAUAAAGUGGCGAACGGCUGAGUAACACGUGGGCAACCUGCCCCUUUCAUUGGGAUAGCCACGGGAAACCGUGGAUAAUACCGAAUACUUCGAGACUUCCGCAUGGAAGACUCGAGAAAGCUCCGGCGGAGAGGGAUGGGCCCGCGGCCUGUUAGCUUGUUGGUGGGGUAACGGCCUACCAAGGCAAUGAUGGGUAGCUGGGUUGAGAGACCGACCAGCCAGAUUGGGACUGAGACACGGCCCAGACGCCUACGGGAGGCAGCAGUGGGGAAUCUGGCACAAUGGGCGAAAGCCUGAUGCAGCGACGCCGCGUGCGGGAUGAAGGCCUUCGGGUUGUAAACCGCUUUCAGCAGGGACGAGGCGAAAGUGACGGUACCUGCAGAAGAAGCCCCGGCUAACUACGUG